UACAGAGGCCUCGAGCGUUGUUCGGAAUUACUGGGCGUAAAGGGAAUGUUAGGUGGUCAACGUAAGUCAGAUGUGAAAGCCCCUGGGCUUAACCCGGGAAGUGCAUUUGAUACUGCAUGGCUAGAGUGCAAGAGAGGAAAGUGGAAUUUCCAGUGUAGGGGUGAAAUCCGUAGAUAUUGGAAGGAAUACCGAUGGCGAAGGCAGCUUUCUGGCUUGUAACUGACACUGAGAUUCGAAAGCGUGGGUAGCAACAGGAU
rnacentral:rRNA from 1 species